GUUUACAUCAUACAUUUGACAUAUUGUGACAUGUAAUAAAAUAAUAAAUAUUGUAUAAUUAUAAAACAUUGAAAUUGUUUUGGCUUGUCUCACUCGAGAUAUGAAUAUCAUUCAAGAUCAUGACAUAUACAGUUCUUCCCACUAAAAUUAAUGUAAUAAAUUUACCAUCAUUGCAAUAAACAAAUAUAUUAGAUAAGUAUAAGCUAAUGUUUAUUAUAAAAUAAGAAAUACAAUAUCUAUGUGCUGUCUGUAAUUGCAGAUGUUGUUGAACCGAUUCUUUCUUUUUAUUAUUUUUUUUUUAGCUUCCCAGUUAUCCACGCACUUGCAGAAUAUUAAUUAGAAUUGAGAUUCAAUUCUUAAAGGAACAACUGUAGCAAAAUCAAAAACAUUUUGUGAAUGAAAGAUGGAAGAACCAUAAGAAGUCAAGAAAUUGCAAGAAAUAUCCUUAGCCUUGUUGCCCAAAGAAUUUAUAGAAGAAAGCUAUAAUAUUAUAACCAAAAUUAUUUUUAAUAAUAAUGAUUAUUUAAAGCCAUUCUUUCAAUAUUAUGAAAAAACAUGGAUUAAUGGUUUUAAACCUGAAUCGUUUUGUGUCUAUAAAGAAUUGCAUAGGACAAAUAAUAUAUCAGAGCGACACAAUAGAGAACUCAAAAAAAAUCUUAACAAGCACUCCACAAUUGCCACAUUUUUAGGUAUAUUAUAAACACUUUAUUGCAAUUACUCCCAGAAUAUUUUUACUAUUUUAACAAUUCUAUAUUAUUUACAGCAAAUUUAUCAGAACAUCAAAAAAGCAUCCAUAGCAUGCUAAAACAUCCAACAUUUUGGACAAGACACAAAAGCAAUAUUUUAAAGAAAAAAGAGCAAAAUUUGCAAAAUAUUUGGCAAAAAA